rfam:Daphnia pulex DAPPTscaffold_296_Cont8428, whole genome shotgun sequence.
UCCCAUAUUGUCUAGUGGUUAGGAUACCUGGCUCUCACCCAGGAGUCCCGGGUUCAAUUCCCGGUAUGGGAA